rnacentral:misc_RNA from 1 species
AACGCACAUUGCGCCCCUUGGUAUUCCAUGGGGCAUGCCUGUUCGAGCGUCAUUUUGUACCCUCAAGCACUGCUUGGUGUUGGGCGUUUGUCCUGCAGAGGACUCGCCUGAAAGCGAUUGGCGGCCAACGUAGUCGUGGCAGAGCGCAGCACAAUCUCGCGUCUCUCCCCUCUGCGUCGGCGUCCAUGAAGCCCACAAUCUCAACGUUUGACCUCGGAUCAGGUAGGGAUACCCGCUGAACUUAA